AUACGUAGGGAGCGAGCGUUGUCCGGAAUUACUGGGUGUAAAGGGUGCGUAGGCGGGGAUGCAAGUCAGAUGUGAAAUGUAUGGGCUCAAACCAUGAACUGCAUUUGAAACUGCAACUCUUGAGUGAGGUAGAGGUAAGCGGAAUUCCUAGUGUAGCGGUGAAAUGCGUAGAUAUUAGGAGGAACAUCGGUGGCGAAGGCGGCUUACUGGGCCUUUACUGACGCUGAGGCACGAAAGCAUGGGGAGCAAACAGGAUUAGAUACCCUGGUAGUCCACGCUGUAAACGAUGAUGACUAGGUGUGGGGGGACUGAACCCUUCCGUGCCGCAGUUAACACAAUAAGUCAUCCACCUGGGGAGUACGGCCGCAAGGUUGAAACUCAAAUGAAUUGACGGGG
rnacentral:rRNA from 1 species